rnacentral:rRNA from 1 species
GAAGCAACGCGAAGAACCUUACCAGGACUUGACAUCCCGCUGACCAGUCUAGAGAUAGGCUCUCCCUUCGGGGCAGCGGUGACAGGUGGUGCAUGGUUGUCGUCAGCUCGUGUCGUGAGAUGUUGGGUUAAGUCCCGCAACGAGCGCAACCCUUGGAUUGUGUUGCCAUCAUUCAGUUGGGCACUUACAAUCGACUGCCGGUGACAAACCGGAGGAAGGCGGGGAUGACGUCAAAUCAUCAUGCCCCUUAUGUCCUGGGCUACACACGUGCUACAAUGGGCGGUACAAAGGGUUGCGAAGCCGCGAGGCGGAGCCAAUCCCAGAAAGCCGUUCGUAGUUCGGAUUGCAGGCUGCAACUCGCCUGCGUGAAGCCGGAAUUGCUAGUAAUCGCGGAUCAGCAUGCCGCGGUGAAUUCGUUCCCGGGCCUUGUACACACCGCCCGUCACACCAUGGGAGUUGGCAACACCCGAAGUCGGUGAGGUAGCUCGCAAGAGAGCCAGCCGCCUAAGGUGGGGUCGAUGACUGGGGUGAAGUCGUAACAAGGUA